CCCGGUGGCGGAGUGGUUACGCGCCGGACUGCAAAUCCGUUUACCCCGGUUCGAUUCCGGGCGAUGGUG
rnacentral:tRNA from 1 species